rnacentral:tmRNA from 1 species
GGGGAUGACCGGUUUUGACAGCGCGUAGAAGUGGUGUGUAAGCAUGCAGAGCAAUGAUGGCUACGCUCUAUAAUCUGGGACAUCGCAAAUUUAAAUGGCGAAAACAACUACGCUCUCGCUGCCUAACCGAAGAUCAGUAAGUUAGCUUUAUCCGCGCCACAGUGGCGCAGACGAGACAUCGCCCGAUUGUCCUCUUCUCGAGACUAAUCGACCCGGCGGUGCAGUUAAAUCGGGAAUAGGAGGCCGACCGCUCCGAGAAGCCUCCGAAGUUUCAGGAGAUAAGCGUACAGUUGGUAGUUUCUAUCCUGCUGUCCGACGAAAACCAAGUAGAAACUAAGCAUGUAGAAAGCUCAUUAGUUCCGCGUUUGGACGAGGGUUCAAACCCCUCCAUCUCCACU